rnacentral:sRNA from 1 species
CAACACCAGAGCCUGGGGUGGGGGCGGGGGACCUUCCGGGACCUACCUCAGCCCCCGUACCUUCUGGGAGCCAGUCAGGUGGAAGGGGAUCCCCAGUGAGCCCCAGGAGGCAUCAGAAAGGUAAGUGAAGGCAGAGGGGAACCCAAGGUGAUACACAGGCCUCAUGAUAAUCAACCCCUGGGCAACCAGCUGCUUGGAACUCAGCCACCUUUGUGUUUACUUUCUGUCUAGGCCUCCUGAAUUGCAAGAUGCCACCUGCUGAGAAGGCUUCCAGGAUCAGAGCUGCUGAGAAGGCUUCCAGGGGCGAUCAGGAAUCUCCAGAUGCUUGUCUGCCUCCUACAGUGCCUGAAGCCCCAGCCCCACCCCAAAAGCCCCUUAACUCUCAGAGCCGGAAACAUCUUGCACCUCAGCCCCUUCUUUCUCCCCUUUUACCUUCUAUCAAGCCAACCAUUCAUAAGACCAGGCAAGAUGGGAGUCAGGAAGCUGCAGAGACUCCCUUGUCCUCAGAGCUGGAGCCUUUCUACCCAAAGCCUAAAAUCAUAACUCGAAAGUCCUCCAGGAUGACACCCUUUCCAGCUACCUCUGCUGCCCCUGAGCCCCACCCUUCCACCUCCACAGCCCAGCCAGUCACUCCCAAGCCCACAUCUCAGGCCACUAGGGGAAGAAAAAAUAGAUCUUCUGUUAAGACCCCUGAAACAGUUGUGCCCACAGCCCUUGAGCUCCAGCCUUCCACCUCCACCGACCGACCUGUCACCUCUGAGCCCACAUCUCAGGCUACUACGGGAAGAAAAAAUAGAUCCUCUGUCAAGACCCCUGAAA